UACGUAGGGGGCUAGCGUUGUCCGGAUUUAUUGGGCGUAAAGAGCGCGUAGGCGGCCGAGUAAGUCCGACGUGAAAUCUGGAGGCUCAACCUCCAGCGGUCGUUGGAAACUACUCGGCUAGAGUCCGGAAGAGGAGAGUGGAAUUCCUGGUGUAGCGGUGAAAUGCGCAGAUAUCAGGAAGAACACCGAUGGCGAAAGCAGCUCUCUGGGACGGUACUGACGCUGAGGCGCGAAAGCGUGGGGAGCGAACAGG
rnacentral:rRNA from 4 species